rnacentral:tRNA from 1 species
GGGGCCAUGGCUCAGACCGGGAGAGCGCUGGCGUUGCAAGCCGGAGGCCACCGGUUCGAUCCAGGUUGGCUCCA